GCCGACCUGGCGUAGGUGGUCCGCGCGCCCGUCUGAAGAGCGGGAGGACUCGGUUCGAUUCCGAGGGUCGGCAC
rnacentral:tRNA from 1 species